CCUACGGGUGGCAGCAGUGGGGAAUAUUGCGCAAUGGGCGAAAGCCUGACGCAGCGACGCCGCGUGAGGGAUGAAGGUCUUCGGAUCGUAAACCUCUGUCAGCAGGGAAGAACGGUCACUGUGCUAAUCAGCAGUGAAUUGACGGUACCUGCAAAGGAAGCACCGGAUAACUCCGUGCCAGCAGCCGCGGUAAUACGGAGGGUGCGAGCGUUAGUCGGAAUUACUGGGCGUAAAGCGCUCGUAGGCGGUAUGGCAAGUCAAGGGUGAAAUCCCGGCGCUCAACGUGGGAACUGCCUUUGAAACUGGCAAACUGGAGUGUGUGAGAGGAUAGUGGAAUUCCAGGUGUAGGAGUGAAAUCCGUAGAUAUCUGGAGGAACAUCAGUGGCGAAGGCGACUAUCUGGAACAUAACUGACGCUGAGGAGCGAAAGCGUGGGUAGCAAACAGGAUUAGAUACCCUGGUAGUC
rnacentral:rRNA from 1 species